UGGUGGGUUGCCUUGUCAGGUUGAUUCCGGUAACGAACGAGACCUCAGCCUGCUAAAUAGUCACUUCCGCAUUCGUGCGGUUGGCAGACUUCUUAGAGGGACUAUAAGCGUCUAGCUUAUGGAAGUAUGAGGCAAUAACA
rnacentral:rRNA from 1 species